rnacentral:rRNA from 1 species
GCUCGUCGUACAAGUAACCGUAAGGUUUUCAAUUAGAGGUUUUUGGGUGAGUAAACGUGGACAACCUGCCUGUAAGACUGGUUAACUUCGGGAAACCGGAGCUAAUACCGGAUAAUUCUUUCCACCUCAUGGGGGAAAGCUGAAAGACGGCAUCUCGCUGUCACUUACAGAUGGGCCCGCGGCGCAUUAGCUAGUUGGUGAGGUAACGGCUCACCAAGGCAACGAUGCGUAGCCGACCUGAGAGGGUGAUCGGCCACACUGGGACUGAGACACGACCCAGACUUCCUACGGGAGGCAGCAGUAGGGGAAUCUUCCGCAAUGGACGAAAGUCUGGACGGAGCAACGCCGCGGGGAGUGAUGAAGGGUUUUCGGAUCGGAAAAGCUUCUGUUGUUAGGGAAAGAACAAGGUACAAGAAGUAACUGGCUUGUACCUUGACGGUACCCUAACCAGAAAGCCACGGCUAAACUACGUGCCAGCAGCCGGCGGUUAAUACGUAGGUGGCAAGCGUUGUCCGGAAAUUAUUGGGCGUAAAGCGCGCGCGAGGCGGUUCUUAAAGUCUGAUGUGAAAGCCCACGGCUCCACCGGUGGAGGGUCAUUGGAAACUGGGGGACUUGAGUGCAGAAGGAGAAAGAGUGNAAUUCCACCUGUAGCGGAAGAAAUGCGUAGAGAUGUGGAGAGGACCCCAGUGGCGAAGGCGACUCUUUUGGUCUGUAACUGACGCUGAGGCGCGAAAAGCGUGGGGAGCAAACAGGAAUAGAUACCCUGGUAGUCCACGCCGUAAACGAUGAGUGCUAAGUGUUAGAGGGKUUUCCGCCYUUUAGUGCUGCASCAAACGCAUUAAACACUCCGCCGUGGGGAGUACCGCCCCAAGGCUUAAACUCAAAAGAAUUGGCGGGGGSCCSSCGCAGCGGGGGGGCUUGGUGAUUUAUUCGGAGCGACGCGGAGAACCUGUCCAGGUUUUGACCUCCUUUGACACNUCUAGAGAUAGUUCGUGGCCCYUCGGGGGACAGAAUGACAGGUUGUGCAUUGUUGUUCUCCGCCCGUGUCGUGAGAUUUUGGGUUAAAUCCCGCCACGAGCCCAACCCUUGAUUUUUGUUGCCCGCCUUAAGUUGGGCCCUUUAAGGUGGCCGCCGGUGACCAACCGGGGGAAGGGGGGGGUGGCCUCAAAUCCUCAUGCCCCUUUUGGCCUGGGCCACACCCCUGCCACAAUGGGUGGUACAAAGGGCCGCAAAACCGCGGGGUCGGGCAAAUCCCAUAAAACCCUUCUCAGUUCGGAUUUUAGGCUGCCACUUCCCUUCCUGAAACCGGAAUCCCUUGUUAUCGCGGAUCCACAAGCCGCGGGGAAAAAGUUUCCGGGCCUUGUUCCCCUCCCCCCUCAACCCCCCACAAAUUUUUUAUAAAGGUAGUAGUAGAGUUAGAAAGUCGUCACAAUG